CGUCGCACUCGCCCCGCCCCCGCCCUCCGCCCCCGCUGUGUCAGACGGCGCCUCCCCAACUCUGGUCCGCUGCGCGUGCGGCUGGAUUCCUCGGACUUCUGGGCGCGCGCCCUCUAGGCCCGUCCCCGCGCAGCCGUCCGAUUCCGUGUCCGCCGCACUGAGUCCACCCCUUCCCCCUGCUCGCACCAUGAAGCAGCGUGUGCAGGAGGUCGCGGUGUAGAUCUUCGACGCCGCCGCAGCCAAGAUCUCCUUGGUGACGUCGUGGGAUGGGACGCGAAGCUGAUGCCCUCCUUUUCUGCCGCUGAUCCAUCAAGGGCGCCGUCACCAGUCAAUACAUAUCUGCGUCCUACAUGCAUAUGGAAUCAAAUCAAACCAAGGUGAUUCCGAUUCUUUAAAGGAAAAUGAUCUCAGUUGUAUCUGUGCUGGCAUAAUCAGGGACCAUUGUUCCUCAGCAGGGAGGCAGAAUUCGGAAAGAUUGAACCCAUACUUAUUCCAUUGUUCAAAAUGCAGUAUGGUUCAAUUGGAUGGUUCAAUACAUUGAUGAUGCAAAGCUUCCAGGUUUUAGUAUAGUGCCCAAGGAGGACUAGCGGAGCUGUACAGUGUUUCUUGUCAUGUUGAAUGAUUAAGAAGUUAAGAAAUUCCAUUCGUAAUUUUUUGGGCAGCAUUAAUCGAUUGUUGCCAUAUAUUUUUUCAGCAAGCAAAUAAUAGAGGAUCAAAUUUUGUGGGGCCAGAUAUAUUAAGAAAUAAAUUUAAAUAGGAUUUCUUUUAGGAUUUUCCUUGAGUAGAUAAAAUUAAGGACUUGUGGUAAACAUGGAUCAUGUGACUAACAUAUAUGGCGUGUUCAAAAAAGCAGAUAUGCACUUAGGUGCUUUGUGUUUGA